rnacentral:tRNA from 1 species
UGGGGUGUGGCUCAGUGUUAGAGCUCUUUCCUCCCAGGUGUGAGGCACUAGGUUCAAUCCUCAGCACCACAU